rnacentral:rRNA from 1 species
AUACGAAGUCGGACCUGCCCAGUGAAUUUUAAACGGCCGCGGUACUCUGACCGUGCAAAGGUAGCAUAAUCAUUUGCCUUAUAAUUGAAGGCUGGAAUGAAUGGUUUGACAAGAAUACACCUGUCUCUUUUAGAUUGCUUAGAAUUUUAUUUUUGGAUGAAAAAGUCCAGAUGCAAUUAAAAGACAAGAAGACCCUAUCGAGCUUUAGAGAAGUUAAUAGACUUAGUUCAAACUAAUAUAAGUAAAAGGAAAGCUAUUAAAUACUUUGGUUGGGGCAACCGAGGAGCAGAUAAAGCCUCCUUUAAAGAAUAAAUCUUGCUUGUGUUGAUCCAAGCUUUUUGAUCAAAGGAAUUAGUUACCGUAGGGAUAACAGCAUUAUCUUUUUUAAGAGCCCAUAUCGAAAAAAAGGUUUGUGACCUCGAUGUUGGACCAGAAUGUCCUAAAGAUGCAGAAGUCUUUGAGGGUUGGUCUGUUCGACCAUUAAAAU